AUACGUAGGUGGCGAGCGGUUGUCCGGAAUUACUGGGCGUAAAGGAUUGCGUAGGUGGAUAUUUAAGUGGGAUGUGAAAUCCCCGAGCUCAACCCGGGAACUGCAUUCCAAACUGGGUAUCUAGAGUGCAGGAGAGGAAAGCGGAAUUCCUAGUGUAGCGGUGAAAUGCGUAGAUAUUAGGAGGAACACCAGUGGCGAAGGCGGCUUUCUGGACUGUAACUGACACUGAGGCAUGAAAGCGUGGGUAGC
rnacentral:rRNA from 1 species